rnacentral:rRNA from 1 species
CAGCAGCCGCGGGAAUACAGAGGGUGCGAGCGUUAAUCGGAUUUACUGGGCGUAAAGCGUGCGUAGGCGGCUUUUUAAGUCGGAUGUGAAAUCCCUGAGCUUAACUUAGGAAUUGCAUUCGAUACUGGGAAGCUAGAGUAUGGGAGAGGAUGGUAGAAUUCCAGGUGUAGCGGUGAAAUGCGUAGAGAUCUGGAGGAAUACCGAUGGCGAAGGCAGCCGUCUGGCCUAAUACUGACGCUGAGGUACGAAAGCAUGGGGAGCAAACAGGAUUAGAUACCCGCGUAGUCCCUGUCUCUUAUAC